rnacentral:rRNA from 1 species
CUCCGCAAUGCGCGAAAGCGUGACGGGGGUAACCCCAAGUGCCAKCACAAUGAUGCUGGCUUUUCUGGAGUGCAAACAGCUCUAGGAAUAAGGGCUGGGUAAGACCGGUGCCAGCCGCCGCGGUAACACCGGCUGCCCGAGUGAUGUCCGCGUUUAUUGGGCUUAAAGCGUUCGUAGCCGGCUCGUUAAGUCCCUGGUCAAAUCCGACGGCUCAACCGUCGGCUAUCUGGGGAUACUGGCGGGCUUGAGGCCGGGAGAGGUCAGAGGUACUCCUGGGGUAGGGGUAAAAUCCGAUAAUCCUGGGGGGACCACCAGUGGCGAAGGCGUCUGACUGGAACGGGCCUGACGGUGAGGGACGAAACCCUGGGAGCGAUCCGGAUUAGAUACCCGGGUAGUCCAGGKCGUAAACAAUGUGGGCUGGGUGUGGGUCAAUCACAAGGAUUGAUCUGUGCCGAAGCGAAAGCGAUAAGUCCACCGCCUGGGGAGUACGGUCGCAAGGCUGAAAUUCCGUUAACUCAGCCCGUGAGCAGCGAGAGCUAUCGGAACAGCAAACUUAAAGGAAUUGGCGGGGGAACAC